AAACCCCCGCAUCUUCCAUAAUUUUAAUCCUUCGCAAUUAGAAUUCCGUAUCCAUAUUUUUCUUUGCACGCUGUCUCCUGCAACUCCACCUCCGCCUUCUCGUCCCAUCCCUCUUCCUCCUACACACUGGCUUUACACAAGCUUUUCCACAUAAACACUUAUGCAUAUUGUCUCGUGGAUGUGGCUUAUGCGUGUUUCUGCAUGUGCACACGAGUGUCUGUAUGUGUGUGUGUGACUGCAUCGCGCAUUGCGAGGGGGGUCGGUGGGGGGAUCCGAAGGGGGCGUCGGGACGCCGAGGGGCCGCGCGUUUGGAGUCUGGCCAGGCGUCGGUGCAGCCUCAGUCCGCACGCGGAGCUCCCGAGCUCCGAGUGCUCUCAGCAUCCCCCAAUGAUGAUCGCACAUGAUGAUCACCACAACAACAAACUUUCGAACUGAAAGAUAAACAACAACAACAACAACAACGAAAAAUAUGCGAACCAUGCGUUAGCCGAAGUACUUAAACACACAUAAACACCAUCACCGCACAGAAGAAGAGAGACAAGAGUUCUUCCCUUUACUUCCACCUGUUAUGGAGAGCUUAGGAUACGAAGGCGCGCCUCCUAAGACCCGAAGAGGCAUGCAGACCGACCACCUCACAUAAUUCGAUUUGAGCGUUUCCUCCACCAUCUUUCCUCCUUUUGAGGACACGACCCCGCGCACAGAAGGCAACCGCCGUCGGACGCGGAUCUCUUGUUGACCUGAAGAAGUCCACGUCCCACCGCGUGUCCCCGAUCAGGACACAAACCCUCCUUUGCUCGGCCGUCGUCCCUUCCAAAAUGACUACAAGAUGAUGGACACGAGCUGCAGAAACCGGCGACCGUGUCACCGCCGACUUCCGGAACUCCACACAAAACAAGAAACGCUCAAAUUUUCACAUCGAAUACACAUUUUGUACAUAGUUAAACGGAACGUUGUUGGAUCCACGAAAGGAUUCGUAGGAAGGAUCGAGUAACGUUCCUUUGUGAGGCGAGAAGUUUCCCCGCGGGAUCGACUAGAUUUGUAUAUAAGGAAAGUUUAUAAUUAGUAGUUUUUAAGAAAAGCGACCCGCGCGGAAAACAUCCCCAAUCCGCAUCCAAAGCCCACCAACUUUAAGAAAAUAAAAUAAAACAAAAAAGAGUACUGCAAGGAACAAAACGGAAACGCGACUAGUACUAAGAAUUAAAAAAAAAAGCAAUAAACGUAACCCUCUGAUGUUUAUUAUUGUCAUUAUAAGUAGAGAUUUAGGUUUUUAAGCGUUUGUAGCAAUAUUUUCAAUACCACUUAACUAAGUUUUAUUUUCCGUUGCAUUAAAGAAACAAGAAAAAAAAACGACAAAAAAAAAUUGAUAACGUACCUACUUAUUUUAUGCAACUUAAUAAACACUUAAGUAAUAAUACUAUAUUAUAAUUAAGACAAGAAUGAAAUACGUAAUUUAUAUUGUAUAUUGGAUCGUCCGUCUUUCUACCCAGGGAUCAGAGGCGAUUGAUAUUUAAAGAA